UUUAUGGAGAGUUUGAUCCUGGCUCAGGAUGAACGCUGGCGGCGUGCCUAAUACAUGCAAGUCGAGCGAACGGACGAGAAGCUUGCUUCUCUGAUGUUAGCGGCGGACGGGUGAGUAACACGUGGAUAACCUACCUAUAAGACUGGGAUAACUUCGGGAAACCGGAGCUAAUACCGGAUAAUAUUUUGAACCGCAUGGUUCAAAAGUGAAAGACGGUCUUGCUGUCACUUAUAGAUGGAUCCGCGCUGCAUUAGCUAGUUGGUAAGGUAACGGCUUACCAAGGCAACGAUGCAUAGCCGACCUGAGAGGGUGAUCGGCCACACUGGAACUGAGACACGGUCCAGACUCCUACGGGAGGCAGCAGUAGGGAAUCUUCCGCAAUGGGCGAAAGCCUGACGGAGCAACGCCGCGUGAGUGAUGAAGGUCUUCGGAUCGUAAAACUCUGUUAUUAGGGAAGAACAUAUGUGUAAGUAACUGUGCACAUCUUGACGGUACCUAAUCAGAAAGCCACGGCUAACUACGUGCCAGCAGCCGCGGUAAUACGUAGGUGGCAAGCGUUAUCCGGAAUUAUUGGGCGUAAAGCGCGCGUAGGCGGUUUUUUAAGUCUGAUGUGAAAGCCCACGGCUCAACCGUGGAGGGUCAUUGGAAACUGGAAAACUUGAGUGCAGAAGAGGAAAGUGGAAUUCCAUGUGUAGCGGUGAAAUGCGCAGAGAUAUGGAGGAACACCAGUGGCGAAGGCGACUUUCUGGUCUGUAACUGACGCUGAUGUGCGAAAGCGUGGGGAUCAAACAGGAUUAGAUACCCUGGUAGUCCACGCCGUAAACGAUGAGUGCUAAGUGUUAGGGGGUUUCCGCCCCUUAGUGCUGCAGCUAACGCAUUAAGCACUCCGCCUGGGGAGUACGACCGCAAGGUUGAAACUCAAAGGAAUUGACGGGGAC
rnacentral:rRNA from 1 species